rnacentral:misc_RNA from 1 species
UGGUUCUGGCAUCGAUGAAGAACGCAGCGAAAUGCGAUAAGUAAUGUGAAUUGCAGAAUUCAGUGAAUCAUCGAAUCUUUGAACGCACAUUGCGCCCGCCAGCAUUCUGGCGGGCAUGCCUGUUCGAGCGUCAUUUCAACCCUCGCGCCCAUCCGGGCUGCGGUGUUGGGGACCGGCACGUACGCCCUCACGGGCGGUAGCCGCCCCCUAAAUAUAGUGGCGGUCUCGCUGCAGCUUCCUCUGCGUAGUAGCACACCUCGCACCGGAGAGCAGCGCGGCCACGCCGUAAAACCCCCGACCCCCUUGAGUUUGACCUCGGAUCAGGUAGGAAUACCCGCUGA